rnacentral:rRNA from 1 species
GAUGAACGCUGGCGGCGUGCCUAAUACAUGCAAGUCGAACGCACAGCGAAAGGUGCUUGCACCUUUCAAGUGAGUGGCGAACGGGUGAGUAACACGUGGAUAACCUACCUCAAGGUUGGGGAUAACAUUUGGAAACAGAUGCUAAUACCGAAUAAAACUUCGUAUCGCAUGAUACAAGGUUAAAAAGGCGCUACGGCGUCACCUAGAGAUGGAUCCGCGGUGCAUUAGUUAGUUGGUGGGUAAAGGCUACCAAGACAAUGAUGCAUAGCCGAGUUGAGAGACUGAUCGGCCACAUUGGGACUGAGACAGGCCCAAACUCCUACGGGAGGCUGCAGUAGGGAAUCUUCCACAAUGGGCGAAAGCCUGAUGGAGCAACGCCGCGUGUGU